rnacentral:rRNA from 1 species
AGCAGCCCAGAGCCUGAAUCAGUGUGUGUGUUAGUGGAAGCGUCUGGAAAGGCGCGCGAUACAGGGUGACAGCCCCGUACACAAAAAUGCACAUGCUGUGAGCUCGAUGAGUAGGGCGGGACACGUGGUAUCCUGUCUGAAUAUGGGGGGACCAUCCUCCAAGGCUAAAUACUCCUGACUGACCGAUAGUGAACCAGUACCGUGAGGGAAAGGCGAAAAGAACCCCGGCGAGGGGAGUGAAAAAGAACCUGAAACCGUGUACGUACAAGCAGUGGGAGCCUCUUUAUGGGGUGACUGCGUACCUUUUGUAUAAUGGGUCAGCGACUUAUAUUCUGUAGCAAGGUUAACCGAAUAGGGGAGCCGAAGGGAAACCGAGUCUUAACUGGGCGUUAAGUUGCAGGGUAUAGACCCGAAACCCGGUGAUCUAGCCAUGGGCAGGUUGAAGGUUGGGUAACACUAACUGGAGGACCGAACCGACUAAUGUUGAAAAAUUAGCGGAUGACUUGUGGCUGGGGGUGAAAGGCCAAUCAAACCGGGAGAUAGCUGGUUCUCCCCGAAAGCUAUUUAGGUAGCGCCUCGUGAAUUCAUCUCCGGGGGUAGAGCACUGUUUCGGCAAGGGGGUCAUCCCGACUUACCAACCCGAUGCAAACUGCGAAUACCGGAGAAUGUUAUCACGGGAGACACACGGCGGGUGCUAACGUCCGUCGUGAAGAGGGAAACAACCCAGACCGCCAGCUAAGGUCCCAAAGUCAUGGUUAAGUGGGAAACGAUGUGGGAAGGCCCAGACAGCCAGGAUGUUGGCUUAGAAGCAGCCAUCAUUUAAAGAAAGCGUAAUAGCUCACUGGUCGAGUCGGCCUGCGCGGAAGAUGUAACGGGGCUAAACCAU